UACAGAGGGUGCGAGCGUUAAUCGGAAUUACUGGGCGUAAAGCGUGCGUAGACGGCUAUCUAAGUCGGGUGUGAAAGCCCCGGGCUCAACCUGGGAAUUGCAUUCGAGACUGAAUAGCUAGGGUACGGUAGAGGGAAGUGGAAUUUCCGGUGUAGCGGUGAAAUGCGUAGAUAUCGGAAGGAACAUCAGUGGCGAAAGCGACUCCCUGGACCAGUACCGACGUUCAGGCACGAAAGCGUGGGGAGCAAACAGG
rnacentral:rRNA from 1 species